UGCCCAGUUAUUUUUUUGGAGGCACUGGUACUUUUGCUUCUGUGUUUUAGCCUUAAGAUAAACACCACCCCGCUACACGGGGCAACACUGACCGUGAGCGGAACCAUUUUGGAUCCCACUGUCUCACCAUGAAUAUUUACUCUUUGGCAAAGGCUGACUCCUCUUUGCCUCUCUCCCUGUUGCCCUGUAGAUCCAUUGUUAGGAGAGUGUUGCCAUGGUGAUAGAGGGCAGCAGAAGGCAAAGAAGCUGACAGUCACCCACACAAAGCAGCCCAGAUCUAUGGGCUAAUUAAAAGGUUCCAAGCUCAGGGCCACCUUGUAAAUAAGAAACAUCCACCAGGAAGCCCCAGUACAGACUGCUCUGCACAGAUCCCUCCAGCACCCGGCCAUAUGGGCAGGCCUGGCUUUGCCAUCUCCUGUCCUGGUGAUGACCCACGGCCCAAGGUGAGGACUGUGUGUCACAUCCGUCACCAGCCCUGAGGAUGAGGCAGGAGGCCCUGCUCCCCGACACAAAGUGGCUCAGAUGUAUGAGGUGCAACCGAGAUUGUCCCAGGAAGACAACCUCAUGGACAGGACCAGGAUGGUCUGUGAGGCUGCUCACAGCAACAGCCUGGCCCUCAAAGGAGAGAAGCAGAGAACAAGGCUGGCAGGGUGCUUGUGGCCACCCUUUCUGCCACCCAGCUCCAACCUGAGGAUGGCUGAAUCUUCCCCAGACCUGCUCUUAGAGAGGAAGAUUUUCUACUCAACGCUCUUGCUUCCCUCCACCUGAAUGUUCCCUCCUCCUUGGCCUCAUCCACAGGCCUCCCCUUGAUGCCUCUGACCCACCAGAUCCUUGAGUCUGCAUUUCAGAGAACCCAUGGGAGCACAGCUGCUAUUUCCAGUUCUGGUGAAGGACAGACACAAAGAAGGAGCUAGCACUCUUUUUAACACAUAAUAAUGUUAAGUAGUGCAAUUAAGUAGUACUCUGCAAGG
rnacentral:lncRNA from 1 species